rnacentral:rRNA from 1 species
UACGUAGGCGGCUUACUAAGUCAGAUGUGAAAGCCCGAGGCUCAACCUCGGGGCUGCAUUUGAAACUGGUGAGCUAGAGUACAGGAGAGGUAAGUGGAAUUCCUAGUGUAGCGGUGAAAUGCGUAGAUAUUAGGAAGAACACCAGUGGCGAAGGCGGCUUACUGGACUGUAACUGACGCUGAGGUACGAAAGCGUGGGGAGCGAACAGGAUUAGAUACCCUGGUAGUCC